AACUUUUAUAAGUUAUCACUGCAAAAGUCCUAAUGUAUUCAGAUAUGUCCCUACCGUUAACCUCCGUUAGAGAAAUUUCGUUAACCACAGUUAAAAUACUUAACCAUGGUUAAUUAAUAAUGUGAAUUGACAAUUCUGCCCUUCUUCCUCUUCCUCUUCCUCUUCCUCUUCCUUUUUCUUUUCCUCUCCUGCUUCUUUUUCUUCCUUUUCUUCUCCAUGUCCUUCUUUUCCUCCUCUUUUUCUCCUCCUUCUUCUUUGUCGUCGUCAUCGUCGAUGAUCCGAUCGUCGUCG
rnacentral:lncRNA from 1 species